UUUCUUUUUUGCUAACGAGAAGGGGAAAAAAAGUUUCUUUGGUUUUGGUUUGUUGUUGUUUUGCUUGCUUUUUUUUUUUUUUUUUGCUGACGAUGACAGCACAUUUCCACCAUUUUUAGGCAAAAGCAAUAGCAUUGCUAACAGAGGUGAAUUAUCUCCCCAAAGGACCAUAUAAGUUUGAUAAGGAACAUGGAGCAUUUGCUUCACCUACUCUUUUCACUAUUUAAAGCCUAGAACCUGUUGAUAUUACUGAUUAGUUUCCAGUGUAAAUGUUCCGCAACACUGCGACCAUCCUCUCCUCUCUUCCCCCUCCCUCCCUCUCUUCCCUUCAGUAUUGAAGUUAGGGGUUGGAAAAAGAGGAACAGAAAAUACUGGGAAGAAACUCUGCUUAGUUUUCAAAAUUAAGACUAUUAGGAAUGUUACAGAAACUGGAAGACACCUCUGGGAUAUGAGUCAUAAUUGGAUUUUCAUGCUUGAAUAAAAGAAUAUAUCAAAUAUUUAGCAAGAAAAACUUUAAAAUACCUAUUAGCCCCUUUAGUUUGCAAAAAAAUCCCCAAACAAAACAACAACACAAAACCCUGGAAAAAAAUUAAAAUAAUCUAACAAAAAUCCUCUCCAUUCUCGACUGGAGAGUAGCCUGAUAUUUUAAAUUGAUGGGUUCUUAAGGGAAUAAAGCAUAGCUCCAGGUAGUCUAAGUUCCAUCUGGAGUUUUAUUCAUUAGAAAAUAUCUAGAGUUUCUGAACUGUAAAAAAAUUUUUAAAAAAUUAAAUUUCUUAAAAGUUCCAUACAUAAAAUCCAGUACUUGCAGACGUACAGAGAAGGUCUUUACACAUCAAAACAAACAUUUUAAACUACAGUUAGUAGAGACAAAAUAAUACCUUUUUGGUAAAUCACCCGAUUUCUAAGACAUCAUUUUAGAGACACAUUGCCUUCUGCUUCAGCAGAAAUAUCACCAAAAAAAGAGCCAUUAGAAGAGUUUUCAUUAGAAGAAAGGCAUAUCCAGCUAUCCCAUCCUCUUCCCUUGUGAGAGAAAGUGGGCAAGCAAGAAGCAGGAAAAAA
rnacentral:lncRNA from 1 species